UACAGAGGGUGCAAGCGUUAAUCGGAAUUACUGGGCGUAAAGCGUGCGUAGUCGGUUAUUCAAGUCGGGCGUGAAAGCCCCGGGCUCAACCUGGGAAUUGCGUUCGAUACUGUCUAGCUAGAGUUCGGCAGAGGGAAGUGGAAUUUCAGGUGUAGCGGUGAAAUGCGUAGAUAUCUGAAGGAACAUCAGUGGCGAAAGCGACUUCCUGGACCAGAACUGACGAUCAGGCACGAAAGCGUGGGGAGCAAACAGG
rnacentral:rRNA from 1 species